CCGUCCUAUUUCAAACUGUGCGCAAAUAGACUCAACCUCCACUUUUAAUGUACUCUAUCAAUUAUUGACAACACUGGAGGUGGGAUAUCACGCUACCACAGACAACACACCUAAGAGACGAACAAUCAAGAGUCAAGAUCAUUCCUCCGGUGUUGAUCCGUAAGGUUCCUGCAUAUAUUUGUUUCAUUUGAAAGGUGCUGUAAUGGGAUUUCAGAUGUAUUACUCUGUCAAGAAGUGCCUGGUUUCAUUAAGAAGCUGGGAAGUAUUACAGCAUGAUUUAUUUCAGAAGGCAUUUCCCUGAGAAGUAUGAUCGACUUGUUGUUUCUUGGAGUGUCUAAUUGGUCCAUGUCCUCCCAGAAGCAAAAGUGACUGGACACUUUUGUCUGCCUUAUUAAAGGGACAUUCCAGCAGAAUGAGAUCCACAAAUCCAUACCCUCUGAUGCCUACCUCUGGUCAAAGCAACUGUGUGCAUGUUAGUCUUAGCUGUUGAGUUAUUCUCCCACAAUGUGACAUCAUCUGCACUGGUGAACAUUCAGGGAGUGGAGGUAGAGGUUAUGUUGGUCUGCAAAUACCUGGGUGUUCACCUCAAUAACAAACUGGAUUGGUCACACAAUACAGAUGUCCUGAACAAGAAGGGCCAAAGUCGUCUCCACCUGCUGAGAAGACUGAGGUCCUUCGGUGUGUGCAGAACACUGUAGUCGCGUCUGCAAUACUCUGCGCAGUGGUCUGCUGGGGAUGCGGGAGUUCAGAGGGGGACAUGAAGAGACUGAAUGAGGAGUGUUAGUUCUAUCUUGGGCUGCUCUUUGGAAUCUACUGAGGAGGUGUGUGAGUGGAGGAUGUUGGCCAAACUUACAUCCAUCAUGGACAAUCCCUCUCACCCCCUGCACAUGACAGUGCAGCGACAGUUAAGCAGCUCCUUCAGCAACAGACUGCUACAUCCAUCAUGUAAGAAGGAUCUCUUCUGCAAGUCCUUCAUUCCAUCUGCCAUUAGACUCUAUAACACCACAGUCAACUAAAGGCCAUUCAUUUCUCCAACUGAAUGUCCUAAACACAUGAAUGUUCUUCACAUAUGCGCAAUUUCCACUGCAUAUGUGUAACUUCUAUAUUCAUAUCCAUAUCAAAAGUCUGCUGAAGUUUCUGCUCUGUACCACUAUUAGGUAUUGAAUGUUCAUUACAUCUGUGCAAUAUCCACUGCAUAUGUGCAA